rnacentral:rRNA from 1 species
GAUGGGAGCUUGCUCCCUGAUGUUAGCGGCGGACGGGUGAGUAACACGUGGGUAACCUGCCUGUAAGACUGGGAUAACUCCGGGAAACCGGGGCUAAUACCGGAUGGUUGUUUGAACCGCAUGGUUCAGACAUAAAAGGUGGCUUCGGCUACCACUUACAGAUGGACCCGCGGCGCAUUAGCUAGUUGGUGAGGUAACGGCUCACCAAGGCAACGAUGCGUAGCCGACCUGAGAGGGUGAUCGGCCACACUGGGACUGAGACACGGCCCAGACUCCUACGGGAGGCAGCAGUAGGGAAUCUUCCGCAAUGGACGAAAGUCUGACGGAGCAACGCCGCGUGAGUGAUGAAGGUUUUCGGAUCGUAAAGCUCUGUUGUUAGGGAAGAACAAGUGCCGUUCAAAUAGGGCGGCACCUUGACGGUACCUAACCAGAAAGCCACGGCUAACUACGUGCCAGCAGCCGCGGUAAUACGUAGGUGGCAAGCGUUGUCCGGAAUUAUUGGGCGUAAAGGGCUCGCAGGCGGUUUCUUAAGUCUGAUGUGAAAGCCCCCGGCUCAACCGGGGAGGGUCAUUGGAAACUGGGGAACUUGAGUGCAGAAGAGGAGAGUGGAAUUCCACGUGUAGCGGUGAAAUGCGUAGAGAUGUGGAGGAACACCAGUGGCGAAGGCGACUCUCUGGUCUGUAACUGACGCUGAGGAGCGAAAGCGUGGGGAGCGAACAGGAUUAGAUACCCUGGUAGUCCACGCCGUAAACGAUGAGUGCUAAGUGUUAGGGGGUUUCCGCCCCUUAGUGCUGCAGCUAACGCAUUAAGCACUCCGCCUGGGGAGUACGGUCGCAAGACUGAAACUCAAAGGAAUUGACGGGGGGCCCGCACAAGCGGUGGAGCAUG